GAGGAGCAUCGGGUCGCACAGGACAGGGGGGUGCUGUAUGGGAAGGCGCGACAGACGGUCACAGGAAAUACUUGGAGAGUGUUGAGCAGUUUGCGCCUGGUCGGGGGAGACAGAAAUAUUUCGUAGUGCCGACUUACGCACUUGUGAGAUAUCCGUGGCUUCUGCAGUGAAGACAUUGUAUGCGUGAAGAACUGAAUAUCUUGCGAGUUAUGUUGUUGCUCAUAACUAAUUACGUGAAGUAGGAAUCUAUUGUUUCCCUGUUACUCAACUUAUAGUUUAUUUAAUUACUGGACCAUCGACAGCAAUAAGUAUUUUUUAGUAAUAAAUGGCAUUCUUAAAGGUACUUCUGUUUUCUUACUCAUCAUUUACAGUCAUUAAAAUAGUACCAGCAGAUUUUAUUUAUUUGCAUUCUUUCAUUUAUAAAUUUCUAUGUUACGUUCAAAAUUCGCAAUUUCCGAGUGAUAAGGACCUUCAUCCAUUCGAUUCACGUGUGUAUUCGUAUUGUACACUGUAGACUCGGCAGUAUUUGGCAUGCAAUGCUUCAACUACGUAUCACAACUCCUAGACAACGAAACCAGCCAAAAAUUUUAAUAUUUCAAAUCUGAGUGUGAGGGUACAUAGUUGAGGCUCACAUUUUUAUUUGAAAGUCCAUUUGUCUACAAUUUCGGUUUCCUCUUCAGCCUCUUUUGUUACUAUUAAAGAGUCUACUCUUUCUUGUUUGUUUAUGAUUUCUAAUUCAGACCUUUCUUUGAUAUAACUGACCUGCGUGUACAUGUUGUUAUGUAUGUUGUUUAUUUAAAGUUCCAUGUCCUUGAUUGCAAUACUGAAAACGCCUACUUUUUCGUCUACUUUUUCGACCUGAUCAUUUAUCUUUACACUCUGUGUUUUCAUUUGAUUGUUGAGGUUACUUACUUGUGUUUUAAUUUGAUUGUUAAUGCUGAUUAUGUGUGCUAUACCCUGAUCUUUAAUUUGUGUUGUCACAAGUUCUAAUAGGUCUUUGAUGCUUAAUGGGUUUUCACUAUCCUGCUCUAUCGUAUCCUCAUGCUCUGAUUCUGUCUCCAGUGUUUCUAUUGAUUCUUUCUCUACUUGCGAGGAAAUGAAAAUAUCAACUGAUUCAUUUACGUAAUCAUUAUCUGCCCCAUAAACUUCUUCAUUUGUUUCAUCCUUUGAGUCCUGUGUUAUUUGUGACAGCCUCCUCAUGUGAAUCUGAUCGUUUACAUACGUUUGGUAUUCCACGUAAGCCAAUAGUCGUUUUCUGGCGCUCCUCUUUACUCAUUUCUGUAACAGCUAUCGGACUCCAUCAUGUUUCUUGGUAAGCCCUAUACUGUCUUGUUCCGUUCGCUUUGAUCUACUACUAUUUCUGCAUCCAUCUAAUGCUGAAUAUGAAUUACAGUGUACUUUCUAAACACACGUAAUGUUUGCUAUUGUUUCGUGUCACUGUAAAUUCAGUGUUCAUAAUACAUUUGUUUCGUGCUUAGUGCACAUACGGCAGUGUGUAUUUUGUUGCAUCGCUAGCCAAAGCAAUUCCUGUCAUAUGGCACCAAGUGUAACACUCUGGGCUACUACUAAAUUAGAAAUUCACUGAUAAUGCUACUCCUAUGAAAGAAAUUUGAUUUUUGUUUACAAGUGUGAUGGAAAGAUAUCAGAUUGUUUGUAGUCUCUCGAAAGAUUAUUGUUGAAAAGAAGCAAUAGCAAAACAAACGAGAGUCACACAAAGGUUCUUUUACUAAUGAAGUAAUCUGCAAUUACGUAGAAGAAAAUGGUCGCCCCCUUAAUUAGGCAAAGUUGUGUUUAGUACCAGUACUAUGCAUGAAGCAGUUUAACUAUUAACAUGGACUUUACCUGAGAAAUUCUGUUUUGUUGAUUAGACAGAAGACAGUAGCGCAGUUUAACAAGUAAUGUACCGCUGGUUUGACAUGAACUGCACAAGAGGAAUAUUAAUACAUUUAGGCAGCAACCUGCUCUCAUUAACACUUACUAUCAGUACAUUGGAGUAGGAAGCUAAUGAUCAUCAUAGGUAAAUGAUUUCGAAUGGUUGAGUAUUAUUAACAUGAACAAGGGGAAGUUUUUACCAUUUUAAUAGUUUUCAUGUAACUGUGUCAUUUGUACUGAUUAUCAUUUGUAUUCUCAAGGACCAUUCACUCUCACACACUAUUAUGCUGAAAUGAGAUGUUUAAUAUUUGGAUGUAGUAUAGUUUGAGUGGAUUCCUAUAGUACACAAAAGUUAUAAGAAUGAAAGAUGUACUUGUUGAGAACUGUUAUUGUAACAUGAAAUUUAAAUCUGGCGCUGCUAUUAGCAUGGGGACCCAGUAACUAAUCUCUUGGUAGACACAGAUGUAGGCUGAACAUUUCAGUGACAACACAAUAUUAGAGACCCAAUAAAAUAUAUAACAUAUGAAAUUCUAAACGCUGCUAUUUCCAAACCUGCACAAUAAUUACUUCUUUUGUUGGCCCUUCAAGUAUACUAGUGAGUAACUAUAAUGCGUGAACACAUGUUUUGCAGGUAACUGUACUACUGUACUGAGAUUUCAAUAAGAAGAACAUUUGAACUGAGUACUUUAAAUCUUUCCAUAGCAACUGCACCUUAAUGAAACUUUAACUAUCCUUUUAUGAGAAUUACACAGAAUAUUUCCAGCAUAAGGACCACUGAAUUAUUAUGCACUUUACUAUCCAACAAAGUUCAUGAACUGUAGUGAAAGUAUACUGUAAAUAGAAUACUCAAGAAAUAUUGUAACACUUGGGAUAGGACCCUUACCUGGUAAAUGACUGGGGAUAAAUAUGAGUGUUCAGCACAAAGCUUAAAGAACACCAACUUAUUACUGAAGAAGAACAUAAUUGGUACUUAAAAUUAUACAGUAUUCAGCUGUUUCUUUGAGAUGGAGGUGGUGGCGUUAUCGACGUCCUAUUGCUAUCCAAAAAAAGCAGCAGUAUCUAUGACUGUUGCCAUGUUAUCAGCUCUGAAAAUUUUCUUCUUAGCGUUGGAUUUCUGUAGUCAAGAGCAAACCAAAGUAAGCCAUGAACAAUACACCAAAUUACUUUACAGCUGAGGCUAUACUGUGUAAUCUUGCUGCUCUUCUUGUAUCAUUCAGUUCACAAGCUGUGAUCACUUUGCCUGCUAACCCCUAACCACUAACUCUUGCCACAGAGGAGCCUUGAAGUAUGACCGCCGGAUUCUCCUUUUCUAUUACCGCCAACCUGCUAUCGUUGCUGAGGGAUUUCCCUCCAAGUUUUACAUGAUUGUAAACCUACUUUCUCUAUGUAUGAACCAGUAUUACAUUUAAAGUUUUAACUUUUCCAUUCUUUUACAGCGAAUUACUUUUGAAACUACGUCCAUAGAGCAGUUACAUUGACAUAAAUUGACAUAGAUAAUGAGCAAAACAUUUACAUAAAUAUUACAUGAAAGAGCUGGGUGGGACAGAAGUCAUUUUAAGUGGAAACAGCCAAACUAGUUAGAUAAGACAAAUAUAGGUAUUAUCGAUAAAAGUGUUACAUGAUGUAAAUAUUGUUACCAAUUCCACAUGGGAAUUAAACCUACUAUCUAUAGAAACAUCUGUACAGCAGACACAUGUGUAAAUUCAGUCGGUGAUCAGAACUAAUGUGAAGUGAAUAUUGCUCAUUAUGUCACAUGUCAACUACAGACAUAAUUUACUACACCACUUGACCA